rnacentral:rRNA from 1 species
AGAUUGAACGCUGGCGGCAGGCCUAACACAUGCAAGUCGAGCGGCAGCACGGGUACUUGUACCUGGUGGCGAGCGGCGGACGGGUGAGUAAUGCCUAGGAAUCUGCCUGGUAGUGGGGGAUAACGCUCGGAAACGGACGCUAAUACCGCAUACGUCCUACGGGAGAAAGCAGGGGACCUUCGGGCCUUGCGCUAUCAGAUGAGCCUAGGUCGGAUUAGCUAGUUGGUGAGGUAAUGGCUCACCAAGGCGACGAUCCGUAACUGGUCUGAGAGGAUGAUCAGUCACACUGGAACUGAGACACGGGUCCAGUACCGUACCGUACGGGACGGACGACGACG